GGCAGUAUAGCUCAGUUGGUGAGAGCGUCCCCGCGAUAAGGGGAAGGACAGCAGUUCGAGUCUGCCUACUGUCA
rnacentral:tRNA from 1 species